rnacentral:rRNA from 1 species
UAAGCAUCAGGUAACACGAAAUCGUACCCCAAACCGACACAGGUGGUCAGGUAGAGAAUACCAAGGCGCUUGAGAGAACUCGGGUGAAGGAACUAGGCAAAAUGGUGCCGUAACUUCGGGAGAAGGCACGCUGACACGUAGGUGAAGUGAUUUACUCAUGGAGCUGAAGUCAGUCGAAGAUACCAGCUGGCUGCAACUGUUUAUUAAAAACACAGCACUGUGCAAACACGAAAGUGGACGUAUACGGUGUGACGCCUGCCCGGUGCCGGAAGGUUAAUUGAUGGGGUCAGCGCAAGCGAAGCUCCUGAUCGAAGCCCCGGUAAACGGCGGCCGUAACUAUAACGGUCCUAAGGUAGCGAAAUUCCUUGUCGGGUAAGUUCCGACCUGCACGAAUGGCGUAAUGAUGGCCAGGCUGUCUCCACCCGAGACUCAGUGAAAUUGAACUCGCUGUGAAGAUGCAGUGUACCCGCGGCAAGACGGAAAGACCCCGUGAACCUUUACUAUAGCUUGACACUGAACAUUGAGCCUUGAUGUGUAGGAUAGGUGGGAGGCUUUGAAGUGUGGACGCCAGUCUGCAUGGAGCCGACCUUGAAAUACCACCCUUUAAUGUUUGAUGUUCUAACGUGGACCCGUAAUCCGGGUUGCGGACAGUGUCUGGUGGGUAGUUUGACUGGGGCGGUCUCCUCCUAAAGAGUAACGGAGGAGCACGAAGGUUGGCUAAUCCUGGUCGGACAUCAGGAGGUUAGUGCAAUGGCAUAAGCCAGCUUGACUGCGAGCGUGACGGCGCGAGCAGGUGCGAAAGCAGGUCAUAGUGAUCCGGUGGUUCUGAAUGGAAGGGCCAUCGCUCAACGGAUAAAAGGUACUCCGGGGAUAACAGGCUGAUACCGCCCAAGAGUUCAUAUCGACGGCGGUGUUUGGCACCUCGAUGUCGGCUCAUCACAUCCUGGGGCUGAAGUAGGUCCCAAGGGUAUGGCUGUUCGCCAUUUAAAGUGGUACGCGAGCUGGGUUUAGAACGUCGUGAGACAGUUCGGUCCCUAUCUGCCGUGGGCGCUGGAGAACUGAGGGGGGCUGCUCCUAGUACGAGAGGACCGGAGUGGACGCAUCACUGGUGUUCGGGUUGUCAUGCCAAUGGCACUGCCCGGUAGCUAAAUGCGGAAGAGAUAAGUGCUGAAAGCAUCUAAGCACGAAACUUGCCCCGAGAUGAGUUCUCCCUGAGACUUAGAGUCUCCUGAAGGAACGUUGAAGACGACGACGUUGAUAGGCCGGGUGUGUAAGCGCAGCGAUGCGUUGAGCUAACCGGUACUAAUGAACCGUGAGGCUUAACCUUACAACGCCGAAG